rnacentral:rRNA from 1 species
CCAAUCGUGGGGGAUAACGCUGCGAAAGCUGUGCUAAUACCGCAUACGAUCUACGGAUGAAAGCGGGGGACCUUCGGGCCUCGCGCGAUUGGAGCGGCCGAUGUUAGAUUAGGUAGUUGGUGGGGUAAAGGCUCACCAAGCCGACGAUCUAUAGCUGGUCUGAGAGGACGACCAGCCACACUGGAACUGAGACACGGUCCAGACCCCUACGGGAGGCAGCAGUGGGGAAUUUUGGACAAUGGGCGCAAGCCUGAUCCAGCAAUACCGCGUGCAGGAAGAAGGCCUUCGGGUUGUAAACUGCUUUUGUACGGAACGAAAAGGCUCUUUUUAAUAAAGAGGGCUCAUGACGGUACCGUAAGAAUAAGCACCGGCUAACUACGUGCCAGCAGCCGCGGUAAUACGUAGGGUGCGAGCGUUAAUCGGAAUUACUGGGCGUAAAGCGUGCGCAGGCGGUUUUGUAAGACAGACGUGAAAUCCCCGGGCUCAACCUGGGAAUUGCGUUUGUGACUGCAAGGCUAGAGUACGGUAGAGGGGGGUAGAAUUCCGCGUGUAGCAGUGAAAUGCGUAGAUAUGCGGAGGAACACCGAUGGCGAAGGCAGCCCCCUGGACCUGUACUGACGCUCAUGCACGAAAGCGUGGGGAGCAAACAGGAUUAGAUACCCUGGUAGUCCACGCCCUAA